GUAACCAGAGUGGGUCAGGACUGACUACAGAGAUGGGACAGGUUGUAACCAGAGUGGGUCAUGAGUGAGUACAGAGAUGGGACAGGUUGUUACCAGAGUGGGUCAUGAGUGAGUACAGAGAUGGGACAGGUUGUAACCAGAGUGGGUCAGGACUGACUACAGAGAUGGGACAGGUUGUUACCAGAGUGGGUCAGGACUGACUACAGAGAUGGGACAGGUUGUUACCAGAGUGGGUCAUGAGUGAGUACAGAGAUGGGACAGGUUGUUACCAGAGUGGGUCAGGACUGACUACAGAGAUGGGACAGGUUGUAACCAGAGUGGGUCAGGACUGACUACAGAGAUGGGACAGGUUGUAACCAGAGUGGGUCAGGACUGACUACAGAGAUGGGACAGGUUGUAACCAGAGUGGGUCAGGACUGACUACAGAGAUGGGACAGGUUGUAACCAGAGUGGGUCAGGACUGACUACAGAGAUGGGACAGGUUGUUACCAGAGUGGGUCAGGACUGACUACAGAGAUGGGACAGGUUGUAACCAGAGUGGGUCAGUACUGACUACAGAGAUGGGACAGGUUGUUACCAGAGUGGGUCAGGACUGACUACAGAGAUGGGACAGGUUGUAACCAGAGUGGGUCAGGACUGACUACAGAGAUGGGACAGGUUGUUACCAGAGUGGGUCAGGACUGACUACAGAGAUGGGACAGGUUGUAACCAGAGUGGGUCAGGACUGACUACAGAGAUGGGACAGGUUGUUACCAGAGUGGGUCAGGACUGACUACAGAGAUGGGACAG